rnacentral:lncRNA from 7 species
GCACAGGUUUGCCAGCAUAUCCAUCCCCUGUUCCUCUCUACUGACUCAUACACCACCGACAACACCAUGACGACGAAGAGGUGUUCUUGUCCUCGCUUCAUGUAUGUGAUAACGAUGCUCCUGGCUGUCAUCGUGUCUUGCUAUAUCAUUGUCGACUGCUCCGCCGAGGUCCAAGAAGCUCAGCCAGACGGAGGGCAUGAGGGCUGGGCGCCGCCACCACCGCGAGGGGGCACUGUGCAACACAUGUGCCCCGACCCUGAGCCUGAGUGCAGACACCCCGGUGCUCCCCCGCCGCCGCCGCCAACGCCGCACCGCCGCAAGAUCGCGCGCCCGGAGCUGGCAGGAUAGUGGAUAGGAACGCCGCCAAUGAUAUAUUAGCGAUGUGAUGAACUGAUGACCCCCUUUAUCACCUUUGUGCUAUGAGACUAUGAUGUACUCGUACGAUGGAUGCUGCUUUUAAUUUGUAUUUGCCUGAGACAGCUUCGUUUUCAAUUAUUGUCAGCUUAAUUGCCG